rnacentral:rRNA from 1 species
AUUGAACGCUGGCGGAAUGCUUUACACAUGCAAGUCGAACGGCAGCACGGGGGCAGCCCUGGUGGCGAGUGGCGAACGGGUGAGUAAUACAUCGGAACGUGCCCGGUCGUGGGGGAUAACGUAGCGAAAGUUACGCUAAUACCGCAUACGAUCUGAGGAUGAAAGCGGGGGACCUUCGGGCCUCGCGCGAUCGGAGCGGCCGAUGUCAGAUUAGGUAGUUGGUGGGGUAAAGGCCUACCAAGCCGACGAUCUGUAGCUGGUCUGAGAGGACGACCAGCCACACUGGGACUGAGACACGGCCCAGACUCCUACGGGAGGCAGCAGUGGGGAAUUUUGGACAAUGGGCGCAAGCCUGAUCCAGCCAUUCCGCGUGCAGGACGAAGGCCUUCGGGUUGUAAACUGCUUUUGUACGGAACGAAAAGGUUCUGGCUAAUACCUGGGGCUCAUGACGGUACCGUAAGAAUAAGCACCGGCUAACUACGUG